AACGAAGGAGACAAGCGUUAUCCGGAAUUACUGGGCGUAAAGCGCGAGUAGGCGGAUCAGCAAGUCCUUUGUGAAAGAUUCCUGCUAAACUGGAAGAGGUCGAAGGAUACUGGUGGUCUAGAGUGGGGUAGAGGGACACGGAAUUCCGGGUGUAGUGGUGAAAUGCGUAGAGAUCCGGAGGAACACCAGUGGCGAAGGCGGUGUCCUAGGCCUCAACUGACGCUAAGGCGCGAAAGCAUGGGGAGCGAACGGG
rnacentral:rRNA from 1 species